rnacentral:sRNA from 1 species
GGGGCGGUGGCGACGCAGAUACCAGCAUCACCUCCGCCAGGCCGGGCCCCACGCCGGCCGCGGAUUGGCUCCCUCCAAGGGCACGCACGCCCGGGGACUCGUUGGCGGCGUGGAGGGGCGCCGGUGGCCACGUUGGUGUCAACCUCCUUCGUGAAGCUCACACCUCCCCCGCCCCGGGAGGGGUUUGCCCGCCACUGUCGCUGAAUGAUUGCAUCAUCGAAAGCAGAAAACCACUUUUGCAUCCUUCGGUCUCUGGCGUGCCUGCCAUGACGUAAUAGCUCUGCGGAGGUGGAAGUUGGGGAGCUUUGAGGGGUCCAGGCUGGCUGGCAGAGGCCAUAGUGACGUGGCGGGGGCACCUGACAAAACUGCUGACGACACCGUAUGAGCGGCAGGAGGGCUGGCAGCUGGCAGCCUCCCGGUUCCAGGGAACACUAUACCUGAGUGAAGUGGAGACACCGAACGCUCGGGCCCAGAGGCUUGCUCGGCCACCGCUCCUCCGGGAGCUUAUGUACAUGGGAUACAAAUUUGAGCAGUACAUGUGUGCAGCCGCCUGGGAAGCCACCCUCUGCUCUUCUCAGGGGAGGUAGACUGCACAGACCCCCAGGCCCCAUCCACACAGCCCCCGACCUGCUAUGUGGAGCUCAAGACCUCCAAGGAGAUGCACAGCCCUGGCCAAUGGAGGAGUUUCUACAGACACAAGCUCCUGAAAUGGUGGGCUCAGUCAUUCCUCCCAGGGGUCCCGAAUGUUGUUGCUGGCUUCCGUAACCCAGACGGUUUUGUCUCUUCCCUCAAGACCUUUCCUACCAUGAAGAUGUUUGAAUAUGUCAGGAAUGACCGUGACGGCUGGAAUCCCUCUGUGUGCAUGAACUUCUGUGCCGCCUUCCUUAGCUUUGCCCAGAGCACCGUUGUCCAGGAUGACCCCAGGCUCGUUCACCUCUUCUCUUGGGAGCCUGGCGGCCCAGUCACCGUGUCUGUACACCGAGAUGCACCUUACGCCUUCCUGCCCAUAUGGUAUGUGGAAGCUAUGACUCAGGACCUCCCAUCACCCCCCAAGACUCCCUCCCCCAAAUAGUAAUGCUUUAGAGGGAGACAGUCAUAUCUCUGUGUGCAGAUAAUAAAAGCAUAUUUCUAA